rnacentral:lncRNA from 1 species
UUCCUUAUGAUGACUAGACUUAACCAUUUACAUCAUAAUUAAGGUAUUAUGAAAUGAGACAACAGUGAGCCUUGGAAUGUAAACUUCUUGAGGGCAGGAAAAGUACAUUCCUUUUCACACAGCAUAGCCCCUGAUACCUACUAGGGGCUUAAAUGCUUGUCCACUGAUUGAAAAGUUGGUCCAAAAGAUGCCACGUCUUGGGACAGUAUGCUGUCAGUGCCCUCCUGGUUACUCUGGGGAAUCCAAUGUCAUGUGAAACGGAAAAGCUACCAGGAUGGAUUUUCCAUCCCUUGCUGAAAUCCCAUUGUGAAAGAGAAAAAUUUCAGUUCUUUGGAGACCGUGUCUUACAAUCAUAUAACAACCAAGAAUGCUGAUAUUAAAAGGUUGAGCCGUCGUUUCUGGAGAAAUUAGGCACAGUAGAGCCAACUCAUUUGGACUGCAACAUAACAGAUGUGAUUACAGGGGAGGCUGAAACAGCACAAAUGGGAACAAAGAUGGGAAAAGCAGCCAGAUUACAAGUGCUCAUAGAGAGUCUCCGCUCUGGAGGUGACCCAGCGUGAGAUCAGUUCUGGAGGGAUCUUAAAGAGAGGAAGAUACCAAAGUUGUGGAAAAACGUCUCUUGCCUUGUUAGUACUGCAGCAAAGUAACACAAAGAACAUUAAUAACUCCAGAACUACAUGCCUUCUUUUCCUUCUAUAUACAAUUUUAUUAUAUGUCCUUGAUGAG